rnacentral:tRNA from 1 species
GGGCAUGUAGCUCAGCAGCAUAGCGCCUGCCUGGCAAGCACCAGGUCCUGAGUUCAAUUCCCAGUACCCCCA